rnacentral:tRNA from 1 species
GCUCACUUGGUGAAAUUGGUAACCACGGCAGACUUAAAAUCUGUAUCCUUAGUAAGGAUUACCGGUUCGAGUCCGGUAGUGAGCA